CUAACAUAACCUAUCAAAACCCAAUACAGUUACUAUAGGUCUUGACUCAGAAAACUCAUAUAUGCUUCCUUACUAAUGAGACUUUCUAUACAACAAAGUGAGGUCAUUCUUUGUUGAUAUAUACCAUAAGGUGCUGGCUAUCAAGUGUUUGAAGAUACCCUAAACUUAACCUAACAUAACCUAUCAAAACCCAAUACAGUUACUAUAGAUCUUGACUCAGAAAACUCAUAUAUGCUUCCUUACUAAUGAGACUUUCUAUACAACAAAGUGAGGUCAUUCUUUGUUGAUUUAUACCAAAAGGUGCUGGCUAUCAAGUGUUUGAAGAUACCCUAAACUUAACCUAACAUAACCUAUCAAAACCCAAUACAGUUACUAUAGGUCUUGACUCAGAAAACUCAUAUAUGGUUCCUUACUAAUGAGACUUUCUAUACAACAAAGUGAGGUCAUUC